rnacentral:snRNA from 1 species
GGAUGUGAGGGCGAUCUGGCUGCGACAUCUGUCACCCCAUUGAUCGCCAGGGUUGAUUCGGCUGAUCUGGCUGGCUAGGCGGGUGUCCCCUUCCUCCCUCACUGCUCCAUGUGCGUCCCUCCCGAAGCAGCGCACUCGGUCGAAGAGGACGGCCUUCCCCGAAUAGAGACGGACCGGUCUUCGGUCGAGGGUAUACGAGUAGCUGCGCUCCCCUGCCAGAACCUCCAAACAAGCUCUCAAGGUCCAAAAGUUAACAAAGAAUUUCUUUUAUUUAAACUUUCAAAAGCCUAUCAUAACUCGUUAUCUUAAUAAGCUAG